GUGUCAGCAGCCGCGGUAAUACGUAAGGGGCCAGCGUUGUCCGGAAUUACUGGGCGUAAAGAGCACGUAGGCGGCUCAACAAGCGGCGGGUGAAAGCCCAUGGCUCAACCAUGGAACUGCUUGCCGAACUGUCGAGCUAGAGUGCGGGAGAGGACAGUGGAAUUCCUGGUGUAGCGGUGGAAUGCGUCAAUAUCAGGAAGAACACCGGUGGCGAAGGCUGCUGUCUGGAACGCAACUGACGCUGAGGUGCGAAAGCUAGGGGAGCGAACGGGAUUAGAUACCCCGGUAGUCCUAGCCGUAAACGAUGGACACUAGGUGUUGGAGGUUUCGACCCCUUCAGUGCUGCUAAGCUAACGCGUUAAGUGUCCCGCCUGGGGAGUACGGCCGCAAGGUUGAA
rnacentral:rRNA from 1 species